rnacentral:rRNA from 1 species
CACGUAGGGGCCAAGCGUUGUCCGGAUUUAUUGGGCGUAAAGAGCUCGUAGGCGGCUCGGUAAGUCAGGUGUGAAACCUCCAGGCUCAACCUGGAGACGCCACCUGAUACUGCUGUGGCUAGAGUCCGGUAGGGGAGCGUGGAAUUCCUGGUGUAGCGGUGAAAUGCGCAGAUAUCAGGAGGAACACCAGCGGCGAAGGCGGCGCUCUGGGCCGGAACUGACGCUGAGGAGCGAAAGCCAGGGGAGCGAACGGG